rnacentral:rRNA from 1 species
AGAUUGAACGCUGGCGGCAGGCCUAACACAUGCAAGUCGAGCGGCAGCACGGGUACUUGUACCUGGUGGCGAGCGGCGGACGGGUGAGUAAUGCCUAGGAAUCUGCCUGAUAGUGGGGGAUAACGGUUCGGAAACGGACGCUAAUACCGCAUACGUCCUACGGGAGAAAGUGGGGGAUCUUCGGACCUCACGCUAUCAGAUGAGCCUAGGUCGGAUUAGCUAGUUGGUAGGUAAAGGCCUACCAAGGCUACGAUCCGUAACUCGGUCUGAGAGGAUGAUCAGUCACACUGGAACUGAGACACGGUCAGCUCCGACGGGAGCGAGCGAGGUAGGGAAUAGUUAGGAACAAGUGGGACGAAAGCCUAGACUCAGCCAGUCGCCGCGUGUGUGGAA